rnacentral:lncRNA from 1 species
GAAGGACCCUUGGAGUCCGACGAGGUGUUUGAAUUUGUUCCCUGCAAAGCAAAUCCGUCGGCUUCUACUAAUCUUUUUAACGAUCAAGGCAAGCCCCGGUGCAUUUAUACCUAUCUAUUUGGAGUCGUUAUUUCAUGUGACUAGUUAUAGGUUAUUUGGUUAUUGUAUGCAUUAAGUCUAGGAGUUGGAUGAAACCUAUUCUUGUGUAUGAUCAUGCCUUGAAUUAAGGACAUCUUUGCCACUUG